CACCGCCACCUCGUCUCCGUCCCUGCGCGACGCUAAGGGGCCGCCCGCCUGACCGCAGCCCUCCUUAUAUCCCCGGCUCGGCGUCUCGCGAGAGGAGGAGGGACCCCGACAAGCACGCAGCGCGCAUUGGCUGGGCAGGUGUCUGGACAGCCCCUCUCCAUCCCCCUCCUUUGCAGAGGGCAUUGGGGGCGAAGACACUUCCGGGAGCUAGGGCUGGGUUGGGGGGCUGUGCCUGCAGCUUGGGACAUUUAAAGGGCAAAUUCAUGUUAUCUGUCCCAGCGAGCCGAGGGAACACCGUGUCUCUGCCGCACGCGGGCCGUUGUAUUUAUAGCUCAAGAGGGUUUAGCCUGGGGCAGAGCCGGGGACAGAGAGGGGGCCCGGUGCCUCAAGCGAAGCUCUCUUUGACCUCGAUCUUGCACGGUUGUGUUCCUGGCCAAGAGAUUUCAGACUGCCACCCCUUCCUCCUUGUCAGGGCGUUCCCAGCUAGAGCUCUCUGCCUGGAUUUGGUCCUCUGCAGAGCUCUGCGUUCCUGCAAAUAAAUUAUGCUCCUCCCAAAUGCAUGCUAACAUCUUUUUAUGCGGCGAUUGCCUCAUAAUGUCGGGCCAGUUCCCGUCUCCGACUUCCCUCCAUUCAAUCCUUGAACCAUUCAAUCUGCUAGGAAAUAUUUAUGCAGCCGGCACUCGGCGCCAUCAGAAAAAGCGGAAAGGAGGGCCGCUAGGUGGAUACUGUUUUGGCAAUGAAUGUGGAUGUGUUAACUCAGCCUGUCGCACGGACACCCGAGCCAGUGGACUCCUAAGAACAAGACUCCCCUUUUAUCCUCUCUUAUCCAUCUCUCAGCUCCCGGAAUUCUCCUAUAGAUCGACCUCGGAAGGGCUUUGAAGGAGCGCUUUGCUCUUAAUGGAAUCUCAACCAUAUUCUGGGCAGAAUGGUUCCAGUUGACUGGCUGCUGCUUCUUGAGGAUCGGAGCCCUCAGCCUGGGAAGGUCAAAUCCUUGGCUGUGUGUUUGCCUUUGUAAUAGGUAGCUUGAGGUUGGGGAGCCCAGGCUAUCUAAUUCUGGGAAAGUGAUUGCAGUUAAUUUUUUAAAUAUAUGGAUGUGAAAUUUAGUCUCCUUUACCUCUUUUUUAAGGCCGUUCAAAUAUAACCGUGCAGAUUUCCCCAUACUGCUGGCCCUUCCUCGAAAAUAAGUACAAUUUGUUUUUUGAACCCCAAGCCCCUUACUCUGUCUUUUCCCACAUUUGCUAAUCUUCCUUUGGAGGUUUGACAAAGCUUACUCAUCUUUUUAAAUGUUUGCUGAUCCAUGCGACUUCGGGGUAGGUGUUGAUUGAGCUGCAGCUUGUGUCACUCAGAGUCUAAAGACUUAGUAGAGCAGAGGUCAUUAGCAGGGUAUCUGGAGCAUAGGUGAUGUAUUUGCAGUUGGGGCAGGUUAGAAUCAGGGGGAAACAAGGUGAACCCGUCAGCACGGUGUCAGAAGCACAUAGGUGAUGUAUUUACUUGCGUUUGGGGCAGGUUGGAAUUGGGGGAAAUGAGGUAAACCCUAUGGGCUAGGACUUGUUACAAUGUUGCUGGAGGUCAAAGAAGACAGAGACACAGACAAACACCAGAGGCAUCUACGUGUUCCCUUAACUAGAGGAGGAGCGGAGCUGGAAUCCUACGCAAGAAGCUUUCCAUGGAAACCCAGCCGUGUCCUCCCUGCCGGUGGAUUUUCUCAGGAAAGGGAGGCCUCAGAUGCCCUCAGCAGCAUGAGCAGCCUGUGAUCACAAGACUCAGAAUCAAAUCCCCUUUUACCAAAUUGGAACCAG